UCUAUCGUAAGGUAGAAUCUGAAGGAAGCUGUAAGCAAACUCUUGGUCCGACGGACAGAAAUCACAUAUGAGGCUAGGUUCCGCUUGGUAAGUCUGCUAAAUAAGACAAAGCCGUAAAGUUGCCGUUUGUAGGAACCGAGUAAAUGUGGCGGAUAUAUGAGAGGAAAGAGCGUGCACC
rnacentral:ncRNA from 1 species